rnacentral:misc_RNA from 1 species
GAUGAAGAACGCAGCGAAAUGCGAUAAGUAAUGUGAAUUGCAGAAUUCAGCGAAUCAUCGAAUCUUUGAACGCACCUUGCACCCUUUGGCAUUCCGAAGGGUAUGCUCGUUUGAGUGUCAUUGUACUCUCACACUCUCCGAUCCUAUGGAUUCGGGGAGCGGUGGACUUGGGUGUUGCUGCCUUUCCUUGUGGCUCACCUCAAAUGUGUCAGUGCACCUCUUGGUUGGACAUAGUACGGCGUGAUAAGUGUCUUCGCCGGCACCUCGCAAGAGGGUGGCCGAUCGGGAGCUCUGUGCUUUCAAACCGUCUUCGGACAAUUUCUGACAACUUGACCUCAAAUCGAGUAGGACUACCCGCUGAACUUAAGCAUAUCAAUAAGCGGAGGA